AGAAGUGAAGGCGAGCGGCGGACGGCAGAGUAACGCGUAGGAAUGUACCCCAAAGUGAGGGAUAACUGCUCGAAAGAGUAGCUAAUACCGCAUGUGAUCUUCGGAUUAAAGCCUUCGGGCGCUAUGGGAACAGCCUGCGUAAGAUUAGCUAGUUGGUGAGGUAAUGGCUCACCAAGGCGACGAUCUUUAGCUGGUCUGAGAGGAUGAUCAGCCUGACUGGAACUGAGACACGGUCCAGACUCCUACGGGAGGCAGCAGUAGGGAAUUUUCCACAAUGGGCGAAAGCCUGAUGGAGCAACGCCGCGUGCAGGAUGAAGGUUUUCGGAUCGUAAACUGCUUUUAUAUGUGAAGAAUAUGACGGUAACAUAUGAAUAAGGGUCGGCUAACUACGUGCCAGCAGCCGCGGUCAUACGUAGGACCCAAGCGUUAUUCGGAAUUACUGGGCGUAAAGAGUUGCGUAGGUGGCAUAUUAAGCGGGUAGUGAAAUCGUGUGGCUCAACCAUACAAACAUUAUCUGAACUGGUAAGCUAGAGUAUGAUAGAGGUAACUGGAAUUCCAAGUGUAGGAGUGAAAUCCGUAGAUAUUUGGAGGAACACCGAUGGCGUAGGCAGGUUACUGGAUCAUUACUGACACUGAGGCACGAAAGCGUGGGGAGCAAACGGGAUUAGAUACCCCGGUAGUCCACGCCCUAAACUAUGGGUGCUAGCUGUUUGAGGUAUCGACCCCUUAAGUAGCGAAGCUAACGCGUUAAGCAUCCCGCCUGUGGAGUACGAGCGCAAGCUUAAAACAUAAAGGAAUUGACGGGGACCCGCACAAGCGGUGGAGCGUGUUGUUUAAUUCGAUGGUAAGCGAAGAACCUUACCCAGGCUUGAAAUCCUUGUCGUCGUUCUACGAAAGUAGAAUUUCAUUUAGUUGGACAAGUGACAGGUGUUGCAUGGCCGUCGUCAGCUCGUGUCGUGAGAUGUUAGGUUAAGUCCUUCAACGAGCGCAACCCUUGUAAGUAGUUGAAUUUUUCUACUUAGACUGCCCUGGUAACAGGGAGGAAGGAGGGGAUGAUGUCAGGUCAGUAUUACCCUUACGUCUGGGGCUACAAACACGCUACAAUGGCCGGUACAAAGGGCUGCCAACCCGCGAGGGGGAGCAAAUCCUAUCAAAGCCGGUCUCAGUUCGGAUAGCAGGCUGAAACUCGCCUGCUUGAAGCUGGAAUCGCUAGUAACGGUAGGUCAGCACACUACCGUGAAUACGUUCCCGGGUCUUGUACACACCGCCCGUCAAACCAUGAAAGUCACCAAUAUCUGACGUCCAGCUUUUUGCUGGCCUAAGGUAGGGGGGAUGAUUGGGGUUAAGUCGGAACAAGGUAUCCGUACCGUAGGUGCGGAUG
rnacentral:rRNA from 1 species